UGAGGAAUAUUGGACAAUGGGCGCAAGCCUGAUCCAGCCAUGCUGCGUGCAGGAUGACGGUCCUAUGGAUUGUAAACUGCUUUUGUACAGGAAGAAACAGUUCUACGUGUAGAACCUUGACGGUACUGUAAGAAUAAGGAUCGGCUAACUCCGUGCCAGCAGCCGCAGUAAUACGGAGGAUCCAAGCGUUAUCCGGAAUCAUUGGGUUUAAAGGGUCCGUAGGCGGUUAGAUAAGUCAGUGGUGAAAGCCCAUCGCUCAACGGUGGAACGGCCAUUGAUACUGUCUGACUUGAAUUAUUAGGAAGUAACUAGAAUAUGUAGUGUAGCGGUGAAAUGCUUAGAGAUUACAUGGAAUACCAAUUGCGAAGGCAGGUUACUACUAAUGGAUUGACGCUGAUGGACGAAAGCGUGGGUAGCGAACAGGAUUAGAUACCCCAGUAGUCCCUGAGCGGGCUGGCAAGGCGCAU
rnacentral:rRNA from 1 species